AAAUUUCAUUUUCAUGUUUUUCUUCUUAGUCGUUCACUCUACAUCGGGUAUAUCGGUAUAUGUGUGGAACGUGAAUAUGCACAUGGUUGUGCUAUCCAUACUCUUGGGGCGUAAAUGUGCGAUGUAGUUGAAAGGUAAAGAAAUAUAAUACUCGAGUAGCAUACUGUAGCCUGCUAUACUGCGACCCAUGUGUCCGGUAAAUAAAGAAAGGCAAAGAUUUCGUCCUAUACUUUCUUCCUACUGUCGUUUCCUCCCUCAUCUCCCAAAAAUGGGCAUCUUCAGCCAUGCCAAAGAUUGAUCCAAGAAUCUGCCAGGGUGCGACGCCGAGUCGACGCUAGUUCCAAUCCCAUGGGUGGCGCCGACUGCUCUCCCUCUCUCCACUCGCCGUUCCCCCAAACCGAAACCCUUGAUCCAACCACUGUUCAUACAUGGUGUUCCCAGUCCUUCAAUUUCCCAGCGAUAAAUCUGACAAAGCAACCACUAUGGGAUACAUCAGGUGUGGUUAAAUCAUUUGAUUUUGUGUACGUAUUAUCUUAAGAAUUGGAAACUUGCUGUGAGGGAUGCCUUAUUUCCUUUUUGGUUUUGUGUAGAUGUGCAGUGAGGUGAUGUAGGUGUUGUGUAGAGAUGGGUGGCAGAAUAGUCGUCAAGUAGACUUGAGCUGAAUCGGUUUGUGAAUUUGUAGGAUCAAACCUGUAAUAGAGCAGACCACAUUCAUCGCCAUUUAUGCAUAUAACGUGGGAAUCAGAAGAAGAUCCAACCGCUCCAUGAUUAAUGACACCACACAGAUUGCCAUAGACAGAAUUCAUCUUGGCAUGUUACCAAAAUGAUAAUCAAAUCUAGCCCUUGCUUGGUCGGUUGUACAUUCAGUUAUAUUGUGGUCAUGUCAGAGCUAUGAGACAGAUUAGGGCAUGAGUAGUGAGAUCCAAACUGCGGAUACUUAGUAAACCACUGAAGGUACACAUUCAUUUUUCAUCUAGUUCUUUUUUUAAUACUGAUUAUGCAAUGCACAUAACACAAAUUGUUUUAGUCAUCAACCCGUGCAGUAGCACGGGCUAGGAGUUCACAUAAUAAACAGAAAAAGUGGAAAGUGAAAUAAGGUAUUAUUAAAUUUUGGAAAAUGAUCACUUAGAAACACGUAAUAUUAUUUAUUAAUCAUAGUUGUGUGAAGAUGCAUUCUUAAUUUGGGACUCCUAUGUUAAUGUGUUACUAUUAGAUAUUUUCAUAAUUAUAUCACACAAAAAUAUUUAUCCAUUGUCGAAGGGAGUGUUGCUUUUCAAUAUGUAUUCCACUAACGAUCGUCUCAGAACAAUAUUAGAAAUUCAUUGCUUUCUUACAAUAUAUAUUAGGUUUAGUUAGGUUGAAAUUAGAGUAUAUGCAUAACGCCUCAAAAUAUGUUUUAUAUUUAGUUAGGUUGAAAUUACUAUAUUGCAAUCAUCCAUCAGAAUUGCACAAUACGUCGGAAAGAAGUUAUUAAAAUAAUUAUAGGCAAUUCAAAACCUGUACGGAGGAUAUUGAAGGAAAAUAUGAGCAAUAUCAGUUAACAAAGAAACUUGAAGCGCUUACUUCUUAAAGAUCCACAGUCACUGAUCUGUGCCAAGAUUAUUUUGUAAUCUUCUGUAAAAUAUUUGGCGCAAAAGUAGACAAAAUCGAAUCGAACAAAUACUAAAAUAGGGAAAAGUGGGUGGGGGCAGCCGGAUUAGGACAACUUCUGAAGCUGCAAAUAUUCGUAUGGAAAGAGAAGUUCUGUAACCUGUCAAAGCGGACGACAGAAAUUGUACCAAAACUAAGCCAUUUUAACCAUUUUCAACAAUCAUUACUCCAUACGUACAACCUGAAUGUUACUCCAUGAUUGUUCUCCUAUAUAUGCAAGGCAUCAGAAAGAUGACAUUAGAGCAUGUAUAGGCAGUAAAAUAUAGGGAUGAUCAUGUGUGUCUGCAGUAAUAUCUGAUUCAUCUGAAAACCGUAUGAAAUUCCUUUAUAAGAAGGUUACAUAGAGUAAAAUAGAAAUAUUCUAGGGUCUCUUGACUAAAGGAUCUCCUUGUACACAAUAUUUUUUGCCAAAUUAUUUUCUUUAGAUUCUUCAUCUGAAAUUAGAAUUUUAAGUCCAUCUCUACUCGUGACUCUUGAUACCGCUACAUAGAGUUGGCCAUGUGUGAAUACCUUCUUUGGUAAAUAUAGCCCCACAUGUUUUAGUGACUGCCCUUGACUCUUAUUUAUCGUCAUUGCAAAACAAAGUGAUAUAGGGUACUGCCUCCUUUUCAACACAAACGGCCAUUUUGAGUCACUUGGUGACAUAAUAAUCCUUAGAAUAUAUACCUUGUUUCCAAUGUUUGUCCCUGUUAUUAUCUAAGCUUCUAUGAACCAUUUGCCUAGCUGUGUUAUAGUUAGUCUCGUACCAUUGCAUAAGCCCUCUGAAGGAGUCCUGGACUAAGGGGUCCUCGGGCGUUCGGCCUGUUAUUCAUUGGGCCGGACUGAUGGGCUGUAAAGAUAUGAAGGCCGAAGACUAUACCCGUGUCCGGAUUGGACUUUCCUUGGCAUGGAAAGCAAGCUAGGCGACCAACUAUGAAUAUUCCUUCUUAUGUAACCGACUCCAUGUAACCCUAGAUCUCUCCGGUGUCUAUAUAAACCGGAGAGUGUAGUCCGGAUAGGCAGAUACUCAUGACCAUAGUCAUAUAGGCUAGACUUCUAGGGUUUAGCCAUUACGAUCUCGUGGUAGAUCAACUCUUGUAAUACUCAUAAUCAUCAAAAUCAAUCAAGCAGGAAGUAGGGUAUUACCUCCAUAGGGAGGGCCCGAACCUGGGUAAACGUCGUGUCCCCCGUCUCCUGUUACCAUCAAUCCUAGACGCACAGUUUGGGACCCCCUACCCGAGAUCCGCCGGUUUUGACACCGACAUUGGUGCUUUCAUUGAGAGUUCCACUGUGCCGUCGACGAAAGGUUCGAUGGCCCCUUCAAUCGUCAGUAAUGACGUUGUCCAGGGAGAAACCUUCCUCCCCAGAUAGAUCUUCGUAUUCGGCGGCUUCAUACUGCGGGCCAACUCGCUCGGCCAUCUGGAGCAGAUCGAUAGCUACGCCCCUGGCCAUCAGGUCAGAUUCGGAAUCUUGAACUACGUCGCGGACAUCCGUGGAGACUUGAUCUUCAACGGAUUUGAGACCGCGGCCACCGCUCCCUUUCGCCCCGAUGAGCAUAGCUUAAACCUGUCAUCGGGCCCCAUCCAGGAGAUAGCUCCUGCAACAGCUCCGGCCUUAGAUCUGGAGCAGAUCGAGUCAUCCGAAGAUGGGAAGCUCAACCCCGUCACGGAGGCUGCUGAUCCAGCGGCAUCGGAGCCGCACACAAAUUUUACUUCAUAUGAUAUCUGCAUCAACGGAGCCCCGGACUCGUCUCCGGUGACAAGUUCCGAACCCUGCGAGUCCACGGAUACCGAACUCAAUCGGUUAUCGAUCUUCAAGUUCAGCGCCGCAGACGUCUUCCAACACUCGCCCAUGGGCGACGUACUAAACUCACUAAAAAACCUAUCCCUGGCAGGUGACUCGCCGCCGAACUAUGUUCGGUUCGAACUUGCGGCGGAUGAUGGAGAACUUUUCUUCCCACCCGCCACCCACUUCAUAGCCACUGUUGAUGACUUAACCGACGUGUUUGACUAUGGCUUCGAAGACAUCGACGGUAUGGACGACGAUGCCGACAAGGAGCAAGGCCAAGACCCGCCAUUCACUGGACGUUGGACGGCCACCUCUUCGUACGACAUGUACAUGGUUGAUACACCUAAAGGAUCCGGCGAUGGCAAAGAAGAGCCAGAUGCGAAUAAACCCUCUAAGACGCAGUCCAAGCGCCGGCGGCCCAAAUGCCGUUCUAAGGCUCGUCGCUCAAAAGAUGGCAACACUGGCACCGGAGAAAAUAGUACUCCGGGCGACGCCGAAAACAAUGAAGACCCUGUCGGAGUUGCAUCCGAACAGGAGGAACAUGACAACAGGCAAGAUAACCCUGAUGAACAGGCCAUAGAAGAUGACUCGGAGGACGAUAGUUACCGUCCGCCCUCCGAGGAGGAGACAAGCCUCGGCAACGAGGACUUCAUCGUGCCUGAAGAUCCUCUCGAGCAGGAGCGCUUUAAGCUUCAGCUCAUAGCCACUGCAAGGAGCCUGAAAAAGAAACAGCAGCAGCUUCAAGCUGAACAAGAUCUGCUCGUCGACAGAUGGAGUGAUGUCCUGACAGCCGAAGAAUACGGCCUCAAGCGCCCAGUCAAGAGCUACCCGAAACGCUGACUGCUACCUCAAUUCGAUGAGGAGGCACCGGAGCACAUAUCUCCCUCGCGUAAUGCAGAACGAUCACCACGUGGUCGAGACAGGGCGGCCGACCGGCCACCCCACGGUCGGGAUAAAGCGGCAACUUAGGCCAAACAGCAACCUGCCCCACCGCCCCGUAAAAAUAAAGACGGAAGUGUUCGGGGUCACACGUACGACCUCCGGCAGACCCUGGACAGUAGAGCAGGACAUACAAGAUCGAUCUACGGAUCCCGAGGACGUGCCUCGAGGCACGACGACGGCUACCUAUUCGGACGUGACAAACCCAACCACGCCCGGGCCGAAUGCCGCAGACGGACUCCAUCAGAGCUACGCCGCGAUGCGGCCCGAUAUAGAGGCGCCGCACACCCUCUCUGCUUCACAGAUGAAGUACUGGAUCACGAAUUCCCCGAAGGGUUCAAGCCCGUCAAUAUCGAAUCAUACGACGGCACAACCGAUCCUGCAGUAUGGAUCGAGGAUUUUAUUCUCCAUAUCCAUAUGGCUCGAGGAGAUGACCUCCACGCCAUUAAAUACCUCCCAUUAAAGCUCAAAGGACCAGCUCAACGGUGGCUAAAUAGUCUACCUGAGAACUCCAUCGGCAGCUGGGAGGACUUGGAAGAGGCUUUCCUUGAUAACUUCCAAGGAACUUAUGUCCGGCCAACAGAUGCCGAUGACUUAAGCCACAUAGUUCAACAACCCGGAGAAUCAGCCAGAAAAUUCUGGACUAGGUUCCUAACCAAAAAGAACCAGAUCGUCGACUGUCCGGAUGCCAAAGCCCUAGCGGCCUUUAAGCAUAGCAUCGAGGAUGAAUGGCUCGCCUGCCACCUCGGCCAGGAAAAGCCGAGGUCCAUGGCAGCCCUCACGGCACUUAUGACCCGCUUCUGCGCGGGAGAGGAUAGUUGGCUGGCUCGCAGUACAAACAAAGCCAACGAAACAGGCCCCUCCGAGGCCAAAAACAGCACCGGCAAGCUCUGGCGCAACAGACACAAACGCCGAAGCAAUGAGUGCAGCUAUUUCAGAUGCAGUUGGUAGGUUGUAUUGUCUUCCAUCACUGGAUCUUGUACCAAUUAAUCCAACCUAACAUUUUUUAGAUCCCACUCUUGGUAUCUAUCCCUUGCCAUACGGAAUGAUUUCACUAACUCAUUGUGAUCAUCAAGCAUCGACAAUAAUCCAGACACAAUGCCUUCAUCAAGUUGUGUUUUCCUUUCCUUUGAGGUUGAAGCAUGCAUUCUAUUUCUGACAUCGUUUUCUGUAUCAUAAAUGUACAAUUGAGCAAACUUUGGCCUGAGAGCAUUAUCUCCAUUAUCUUUAGGUAGCAAUGUGCCAAUUUGAUGAUAGUUUUGGCCAUUCAAGCGAAAAACAUAUGGUGCUCCCCCUUUUUUGUUUAUCUCGUAAUCGACCUGACCACCCAUAGAAGUAAAUGCAAACAUUGAAUUAUAGUUCCUGAUAUUGUCUCUGUAAUUUGACGAUUCCCCCUUUUCAUUAGAUGUUAGUAGCUGCUGAAGGUAUGGUGGAGGUUUUUUCAAUGGUGGCAGUUUGACUUUGCCUUCCUUUCAAAAAAGUCCGAAUGUUGGUCUUGAUUUGUUUGUUUUAUGCUUGGCUCUCUCUUGAUGCCACAUUAUAGCAUUGCAGAAUGGGCAUACGCAUGUUGGUUUUCCAAAUUUUGGAACCUCACUUGGAGAGCUAUGAGAUUUACCUCCUUUUUUCAUCGCUUGUAAUUUCUUUCUAUUUGCUCGAUUCAACUUGCUUAUCUCUUUUCUUCUAAUCAAAUCGCUAUCUGAUGAGCUUCUAGCAAAAUUUGAUGCUUCUAAAGCAUGUUCGCCAGCUGAUGUACUCAAAGCAAACUCAGUUUCACAAUUUUGUUUUCUUUGAACCAAGCUUGCAUGCUUGUUGCUUUGAUUUCCAUGGACCAUCUCUUUCCUCUUUCUUGGUUUUUAUUUAUUUGUACCUGGUGAAAUCAUGUAACAAAUAUAUUUGGUAGUUGUUAGCCCAUUAUAUCAGGCACGGGCUAGCGGCCAUGAUUAUGUCGUUAAAGGGUGCACCUUUCUUGCUCUUUGUUUACUGUAGAAUGAUCUUUGGGUAUUCCCUGAAAAUAAAAGGAGCUAAACUUCAUCUGCAUAGCACACUAAAAGUAAUUUGAAGAGAUAAUAAAUAUGUGAUUACCAUUUUAUUCUCCUGGCAAGCUACAAUGGUAGUGGAUGUAUAUACACAUGUGAAUAGCCUGUAAUAUAUUUAUUUCAUGAUCAGUUAUUUUUAUAAUACAUGUAUUGAGUUAUUUUCUUGUUAAUUAAUAACUAAUAAUAUAUAAUGCAAGCUAGUACCUUUCAUUCUGAUGGUGUAGGCUGUCUUCUUGGACAAGAAUAUCCGACUGGUUGCCCAUCAUGCUUAAUAACUUUGAACGCUUGUUAUUUUUUGUUUGGUUUGGAGGUUGACUUUGCUUUCUCCGAGCUUGUCUGCGUUCAUUUUUUCAUCAUUAUAAUGUAAUGUAUUUUCAUUUGUUAGUUAGAGUGUAGAUGUGCUAGAGGCAAUAAAUUGUGUCAUAACAUACCAGUUAUUGCCUUCCACUCUAAUUUGCUGAAAAUUUCAUUUGGAAAGUCAGGGUAAUAUAUUCAAGGGUGCAUUCAACAUUGUUAUAAGAAUAGGAUAGAAGUGUUGUAGUCAAGUUUGUACCUUGUUUUUGUUAGGUAAUUUUUCUUUUUUGCCCAAGAUGACCCUGCAAGUGGACCGUGCGCUGGCCUCAUGGUGGGCGCCAACUGUCGUGGAAUUAUCACGGCAGAUGUCCUCGUGCAAGGACUUAGUCGUGGAGCCAUCGCAGCUAGGAAGCUUAAAGGGGUUAAGUGGGACAACGGACACGAGGAUUAUACCGGUUCGGCCCCUUACAAUGAAGGUAAAAGCCUACGUCCAGUCGAGGUUGUAUUGAUUAGGGUUUCGACGACCAGGAGCUAAACCGCCCUGCCUGGUUAUCGAUUUGAUCUUACUUGUCCCUGAACCGCCGCCGGGUCGUCCCUUUAUAUAGAGAGGUUGACGCCCAGCGGCUCUCAGAGUCCCGGCCGGCUUAUAACAGUGUCCGGCUCGGACUCUUAACUAUUCUUGCCUUACACUACAAGUUUCACCAUAACAGUGGUUUAUCACUACGGGCCUUAAGCCAUCUCCGGGUCUUAAGCCCAUUACUGACCCGCCGUCCUCAAGCUUGGUACUGGGCUUCACGUGAUGAUCAUGAUGAGUAACCCGGCCCCUCCUGGGCGGGUUACUCUAAUGGUUAUAUCCUCAACACCUAGCCUUUUUCCCUUGGGAGUCGCGCAUCCCGAGGGUCAUCUUUAUUUAACCCCCCCCCCCCCGGGGCCAAUGCUUGUCUAAGUGUUGGUCCAAACUAGAGCACCGUGCGGGACCAUCCCUUGGCAACUUGGGUUACGUCGGUACCUGUACGCUUAGCUCAUCCGGUGUGUCCUGAGAACGAGAUACGUGCGACUCCUAUCGGGAUUGUCGACACAUCGGGCGGCUUUGCUGGACUUGUUUUACAAUUGUCAAAAUGUCUUGUAACCGGGAUUCCGAGACUGAUCGGGUCUUCCCGGGAGAAGGAAUAUCCUUCAUUGACCGUGAGAGCUUAUAAUGGGCUAAGUUGGGACACCCAUGCAUGGUAUUAUCUUUCGAAAGCCGUGCCCGCGGUUAUGUGGCAGAUGGGAAUUUGUUAAUAUCCGGUUGUAGAGAACUUGACACUUGACUUAAUUAAAACGCAUCAACCGCGUGUGUAGCCAUGAUGGUCUCUUCUCGGCGGAGUCCGGAAAGUGAACACGGUUUCUGGGUUAUGUUUGACGUAAGUAGGAGUUCAGGAUCACUUCUUGAUCAUUACUAGUUCACGACCGUUCCGUUGCUUCUCUUCUCGCUCUUAUUUGCGUAAGUUAGCCACCAUACAUUGCUUAGUCGCUGCUGCAGCCUCACCACUUAUCCUUUCCAUACCCUUUAAGCUUUGCUAGUCUUGAUACCCAUGGUAAUGGGAUUGCUGAGUCCUCGUGGCUCACAGAUUACUACACCAACAGUUGCAGGUUUAGGUUUUGCGAUGAUCAUGACGCGAGAGCGAUGUUACUUGUUUUGGAGUUCUUCUUCUGCUUCUUCUUCGAUCAGGGGAUAGGUUCCAGGUCGGCAGCCUGGGCUAGCAAGGUGGAUGUCGUUCGAGCUUCUGUUUGUGUUUUCAUCCGUAGUCGGAUGUUGAUCUUAUGUAU
rnacentral:lncRNA from 1 species